GUCAGGUGUGGUGGCUCACAUCUGUAAUCCUAGCACUUUGGGAGGCUGAGGCGGGAGGAUCACUUGAGCCCAGGAGUUCCAGACCAGCCUGGGUAACAAAGUGAGACCCCGCCUCUA
rnacentral:sRNA from 1 species